rnacentral:rRNA from 1 species
GACGAACGCUGGCGGCGUGCUUAACACAUGCAAGUCGAACGGAAAGGCCCUGCUUUUGUGGGUUGCUCGAGUGGCGAACGGGUGAGUAACACGUGAGUAACCUGCCCUUGACUUUGGGAUAACUUCAGGAAACUGGGGCUAAUACCGGAUAGGAGCUCCUGCUGCAUGGUGGGGGUUGGAAAGUUUCGGCGGUUGGGGAUGUACUCGCGGCUUAUCGGCUUGUUGGUGGGGUAGUGGCUUACCAAGGCUUUGACGGGUAGCCGGCCUGAGAGGGUGACCGGCCACAUUGGGACUGAGAUACGGCCCAGACUCCUACGGGAGGCAGCAGUGGGGAAUAUUGCAGAAUGGGCGGAAGCCUGAUGCAGCAACGCCGCGUGCGGGAUGACGGCCUUCGGGUUGUAAACCGCUUUCGACUGUGACAAAGAGUGAGUGACGGUAAUGGGUAAAGAAGCACCGGCUAACUACGUG